rnacentral:lncRNA from 1 species
UGGUAAGUCUCGCCUCUGCCCAACUGAGCUCCGCUCCGCUCCUUUCUUCGGAUAUUCCUCUCUUCGUCCUAUCGUGUUAAUCUCGACCGUAAUGUUCAGCAUUUGCCCUGUAGAUUGAAUACACGAGCUUAAAUACCAGGAUUAUUAUGCGUGAAACCUAAAAUUCUGAGUUUAUUCUGUGGUUGAAGUGCCCCCAGAUUUAGUUUUUAAGAUUUGUUGGAUUCCUUUUUUGUGGUAUGUAAACAGCCGUACUGCAGGCAGUGGCGGAGGACAAAAUAAUAAUAAGGUAUGGCUGAAGAAGGAAAAAAAAAAGAGAAAAACAUGAUGCAACACAUAGGACUUGAACCUGGAACCUGUUGAUUACAGGUAGUAUGAACUUACCACUACACCAAACAUGAUUUUUAGGUAUGUCUCAAGCCAUAGACCAUAAUGGGUGCUCCGCCACUGACUGCAGGUCGGGUUACCUCUAUUUCUUUUGCUAGAUGCCGUUAAGGAAACAGGUCCUCGUGGAUCGUCAGUUGACCAUUAUAUAACCGGUAGGAGUAGUUGUUCUUGGUCAGAACGGGGUAGCUGCUACCGCCACCCACCUCACGAAUUACCCGCUGGAUCACAACUCCGUCUUUGGAGGUGCCGUCUUCGUUCUUCUUCCCAGACGUUCAGAAGAAUCAGAACCUAGCUCCUUGGUACCACUUGUUAGAACCUCACCGGAUUGACAAUACUCAGGUUGUCGGCGAGAUCGCGACCAACAGAUGCUCACACGAACAUGAAGAACACAAUCUCGUUCUUGUGCUGCAGAAAUUGGCAGCGUUUCCGUUGUCUAUUGCUUUGCUUAUAUAGAAGAUUGCAAGGAAACAAAUCAGGGCCUCUCGGUCAUGCGGAC